rnacentral:tRNA from 1 species
AAUAGGAUGCCUGACAAAAGGAACACUUUGAUAGAGUGGCUAAUGUGAUUUUUCACUCCUGUUA